rnacentral:rRNA from 1 species
CCUAGCCCUUCAGAGGGGGACAACAGUUGGAAACGACUGCUAAUACCGCAUACGAUCUAAUCUCGGCAUCGAGGAUGGAUGAAAGGUGGCCUCUAUUUAUAAGCUAUCACUGAAGGAGGGGAUUGCGUCUGAUUAGCUAGUUGGAGGGGUAACGGCCCACCAAGGCGAUGAUCAGUAGCCGGUCUGAGAGGAUGAACGGCCACAUUGGGACUGAGACACGGCCCAA